rnacentral:misc_RNA from 1 species
UAAUUUCUAUUAAUUUUUGUUUAUAGCUUUUCUAGGUGACUUAAAUAUAGUUCUAAGCCUCUUGACUAUCCUGACCGGCACUGGUCACCGGAAUAGUGAAAUGUAUGGAACUAAUGAACAUAGGGGUGUUACAUCAUUUACCUCUAAGUGAGCUGUAUAGUAUGUCUUCUUCUUGGCCAUUCUCCAUAUAAGGGAUAUAUAUGGUUGGAGAGAUCACUCCAUUAGCUUCAAAUAGACACUAGUUUAUUGUGGUGGCAAUUGAUUACUUCACUAAAUGGGUAGAGGCAGAGUCCUUUAGAUCAAUGGGUGUCGAGUAGAUGCCUGAGUUUGUUAGGAAGAACAUAAUAUGCCAGUUUGGGACACCACAUGAGAUUGUAUUAGAAAAUAGCUUGCAGUUUAAAGGAGAAUUCCAAGACUUGUUCAAGGAAUAUGAGAUUCAGCAUCAUAAGUCGUCACCCUAUAGGCCACAAACAAAUGGGGCAGUGGAAGCAGCCAAUAAGAACAUAAAGACCAUCCUUAGGAAAACAGUUUAGGCUUAUAGAGAUUGGCUCGAAAAGUUACCUUAUGCUUUAUGGGGAUAUUGAACCAUUACUAGAACAUUUACAAGGGCAAUACCAUUUUCUCUGGCUUAUGGAACUGAUACAGUUCUUCCUAUUGAACUAGAAGUUGAGUCAAUGAGAGUGCCAUUAAAAGCUAAGAUUCUUAAACGUGAAUGGGCUCAAAAAAGACAUGAAGAGUUAGCCCUAAUUGAUGAAAAAAGAAUGAGGGCUUUAUGCCAUAUGCAAGCUCAUUAAUGAAGGAUUGCUUGGGCCUUCAACAAGAAGAUCAAAGUAGGUGACGUGGUGCUUAAACAAGCCUGACUUGUUUCUUCAAACCCAAGGGGAAAAUUUAAGCCUAAUUGGAAUGGCCCCUAUAUAAUGAAGAAAAUUCUACUUGUAGGAGCUGUGAGAUUAUCAAAUUUGGAUGGGAAUGAAUUUCUAGAAUUGGUAAAUUUGGACAAGCUGAAGAAAUACUUCAUAUGAAAGAUAGGUUCGCUAGGCUGAAAACUUGAAAAGGGUAGUCUAGGCAAAAGUUAGAGUAAGGAAAAAAAUAAUAAUAAAUAAUAAAAUAAAAUAUUUUUGUCAGAAAAAAAAAAGAACAAUUUUAUCAAGAAUUAAAAAAAAAAGUUAAUAAUCUACCAAAAAUAAAGAAAAAAAAAUUGAAAGAGAAAACAGGAGAAGGAAGUAAUUAUUACCAUUAUUGCGAGGCUUGAAACG